CGCCUUCUUCACUGCCAGCUCUCUUCCCGGGGCUCCCCGGCUGAAAGUUCAUAAACGGCAGCGGCGAAGUUCGAGGCUUCGUCGAAACUGAAGAAGACAUAGAGCGAUUUCGAGGGCGAUUUCUGUCCGUCUUGACGAUCAUGGUACCGAAGUCUUCAGUAUCGUGAUCGAAAUCAAAAGCAUGGUCGUCCUCGUAGUCAAUUGGGG
rnacentral:misc_RNA from 1 species